AACUUUUAACAAUGGAUCUCUUGGCUCCGGCAUCGAUGAAGAACGCAGCGAAAUGCGAUAACUAGUGUGAAUUGCAGAUUUCAGUGAAUCAUCGAGUCUUUGAACGCACAUUGCGCCCCUUGGUAUUCCUAGGGGCAUGCCUAUUCGAGCGUCGUUU
rnacentral:rRNA from 1 species